rnacentral:rRNA from 1 species
AACGCUGGCGGCGGCCUAACAAUGCAAGUCGAACGGUAACAUUUCUAGCUUGCUAGAAGAUGACGAGUGGCGGACGGGUGAGUAAUGCUUGGGGACUUGCCUUUGCGAGGGGGAUAACAGUUGGAAACGACUGCUAAUACCGCAUAAUGUCUUCGGACCAAACGGGGCUUCGGCUCCGGCGCAAAGAGAGGCCCAAGUGAGAUUAGCUAGUUGGUAAGGUAACGGCUUACCAAGGCGACGAUCUCUAGCUGUUCUGAGAGGAAGAUCAGCCACACUGGGACUGAGACACGGCCCAGACUCCUACGGGAGGCAGCAGUGGGGAAUAUUGCACAAUGGGGGGAACCCUGAUGCAGCCAUGCCGCGUGUGUGAAGAAGGCCUUCGGGUUGUAAAGCACUUUCAGUUGUGAGGAAAAGUUAGUAGUUAAUACCUGCUAGCCGUGACGUUAACAACAGAAGAAGCACCGGCUAACUCCGUGCCAGCAGCCGCGGUAAUACGGAGGGUGCGAGCGUNAAUCGGAAUUAC